GAUGAACGCUGGCGGCGUGCCUAAUACAUGCAAGUCGAACGCUGAAGCUUGGUGCUUGCACCGAGCGGAUGAGUUGCGAACGGGUGAGUAACGCGUAGGUAACCUGCCUCUUAGCGGGGGAUAACUAUUGGAAACGAUAGCUAAUACCGCAUAAAAGUCGAUAUCGCAUGAUAUUGAUUUGAAAGGUGCAAAUGCAUCACUAAGAGAUGGACCUGCGUUGUAUUAGCUAGUUGGUGAGGUAACGGCUCACCAAGGCGACGAUACAUAGCCGACCUGAGAGGGUGAUCGGCCACACUGGGACUGAGACACGGCCCAGACUCCUACGGGAGGCAGCAGUAGGGAAUCUUGGGCAAUGGGGGCAACCCUGACCGAGCAACGCCGCGUGAGGGAAGAAGGUUGUCGGGUCGUGAAGGUCUGUUGUAAGGGAAGAACGAGUGUGAGAGUGGAAAGUUCACAGUGUGACGGUAACUGACCAGAAAGGGACGGCUAACUACGUG
rnacentral:rRNA from 1 species